rnacentral:rRNA from 1 species
AGAGUUUGAUCAUGGCUCAGAACGAACGCUGGCGGCGUGGAUAAGACAUGCAAGUCGAGCGGGAUUUUUUCCUGUAGCAAUACAGGGAAAAGUCUAGCGGCGAACGGGUGCUUAACACGUGGGCAACCUGCCAAGAAGUGGGGGAUAGCUCGCCGAAAGGCGAAUUAAUACCGCAUGUGAUCAGAAUGGACAUCCAUUCAAAAUCAAAGUCGGGGCAACCUGACGCUUCUUGAGGGGCCCGCGGCCUAUCAGCUAGUUGGUGGGGUAACGGCCCACCAAGGCUUAGACGGGUAGCUGGUCUGAGAGGACGACCAGCCACACUGGGACUGAGACACGGCCCAGACACCUACGGGUGGCAGCAGUCGAGAAUUUUUCUCAAUGGGGGAAACCCUGAAGGAGCGACGCCGCGUGGAGGAUGAAGGUCUUCGGAUUGUAAACUCCUGUCAUUGGGGAACAAUGCGCAAAUAUUAACUGUAUUUGCGUUGAUAGUACCCGAAGAGGAAGAGACGGCUAACUCUGUGCCAGCAGCCGCGGUAAUACAGAGGUCUCAAGCGUUGUUCGGAUUCAUUGGGCGUAAAGGGUGCGUAGGCGGCGCGAUAAGUCGGGUGUGAAAUCUCGGAGCUUAACUCCGAAACUGCAUUCGAUACUGCCGUGCUUGAGGACUGGAGAGGAGACUGGAAUUUACGGUGUAGCGGUGAAAUGCGUAGAUAUCGUAAGGAAGACCAGUGGCGAAGGCGGGUCUCUGGACAGUUCCUGACGCUGAGGCACGAAGGCCAGGGGAGCAAACGGGAUUAGAUACCCUAGUAGUCC